ACUCCUACGGGAGGCAGCAGUGGGGAAUAUUGCACAAUGGGGGAAACCCUGAUGCAGCGACGCAGCGUGCGGGAUGACGGCCUUCGGGUUGUAAACCGCUUUCAGCAGGGAAGAAGCGCAAGUGACGGUACCUGCAGAAGAAGUACCGGCUAACUACGUGCCAGCAGCCGCGGUAAUACGUAGGGUACGAGCGUUGUCCGGAAUUAUUGGGCGUAAAGAGCUCGUAGGUGGUUGGUCACGUCUGCUGUGGAAACGCAACGCUUAACGUUGCGCGUGCAGUGGGUACGGGCUGACUAGAGUGCAGUAGGGGAGUCUGGAAUUCCUGGUGUAGCGGUGAAAUGCGCAGAUAUCAGGAGGAACACCGGUGGCGAAGGCGGGACUCUGGGCUGUAACUGACACUGAGGAGCGAAAGCAUGGGGAGCGAACAGGAUUAGAUACCCUGGUAGGUGA
rnacentral:rRNA from 1 species